rnacentral:rRNA from 1 species
UGGGGAAUAUUGGACAAUGGGGGAAACCCUGAUCCAGCCAUGCCGCGUGGAUGAAGAAGGCCCUAGGGUUGUAAAGUCCUUUCGUUGGUGAAGAUAAUGACGGUAACCAAAGAAGAAGCCCCGGCUAAUUACGUGCCAGCAGCCGCGGUAAUACGAAAGGGGCUAGCGUUGUUGGGAAAUACUGGGCGUAAUGCGCACGUAGGCGGCCUGCCAAGUUGGGGGUGAAAUCCCGGGGCUCAACCCCGGAACUGCCUCCAAAACUGGUAAGCUAGAGGAUGCGAGAGGAUAGUGGAAUUCCGAGUGUAGAGGUGAAAUUCGUAGAUAUUCGGAAGAACACCAGUGGCGAAGGCGACUGUCUGGCGCAUUUCUGACGCUGAGGUGCGAAAGCGUGGGGAGCAAACAGGAUUAGAUACCCGUGUAGUCC